CGGUGUUUAACUGGCGUGAUGUGGGACGUCCUACCGGUGGGCUUAGCCUCGCGAGGGGCGGCCCAACUAAUAUCCCGUCGCGGUGCUCUUUACUGAGUGUCGAGUCGGGCCGGUACGUUUACUUUGAACAAAUUAGGGUGCUUAAAGCAGGCUAUCCUCGCCUGAAUACUGCGUGCAUGGAAUAAUGGAAUAGGACCUCGGUUCUAUUUUGUUGGUUUUCGGAACCCCGAGGUAAUGAUUAAUAGGGACAGAUGGGGGCAUUCGUAUUGCGACGUUAGAGGUGAAAUUCUUGGAUCGUCGCAAGACGGACAGAAGCGAAAGCAUUUGCCAAAAAUGUUUUCAUUAAUCAAGAACGAAAGUUAGAGGUUCGAAGGCGAUCAGAUACCGCCCUAGUUCUAACCAUAAACGAUGCCAGCUAGCGAUCCGCCGAAGUUCCUCCGAUGACUCGGCGGGCAGCUUCCGGGAAACCAAAGCUUUUGGGUUCCGGGGGAAGUAUGGUUGCAAAGCUGAAACUUAAAGGAAUUGACGGAAGGGCACCACCAGGAGUGGAGCCUGCGGCUUAAUUUGACUCAACACGGGAAACCUCACCAGGCCCAGACACCGGAAGGAUUGACAGAUUGAUAGCUCUUUCUUGAUUCGGUGGGUGGUGGUGCAUGGGCCGUUCUUAGUUGGUGGAGCGAUUUGUCUGGUUAAUUCCGAUAACGAACGAGACUCUAGCCUGCUAAAUAGGCGUACCUUAUGGUAUCGCGAAGGCCCCCGGCUUCGGCCGGUGGGUUUUUACUACCAACGUACAAACAAAUCUUCUUAGAGGGACAGGCGG
rnacentral:rRNA from 1 species